rnacentral:lncRNA from 1 species
AGUAACUGUGGAGAUGCUGUAGCAGCAGCUGACGAUGCGGAGGGCUCGCUGGGCGCCAGGCUGCUUAUUGGUCGGAAUAUCCUGUAGACGAGGAAACUGAGGCUCUGAGAGUUUCCCACCGCCAACGACAGGGAUUUGAAGCCCGAGGCUGCUCCCCGUUCCCACCCAAACCAGACGGCAGGUGUAAGGGCCGUGGUGGAGGCUGGUGAGGGUGCCACUUGCUUCUCCUUGACCUCGGGGAAGAUGAAGUCGUGAGUCAGGAGGGAGGCAGCUGGCCGGCUCCUGUGAUGUCAGAGCGGAUGGUCGUUGCCUUGGGGUUCGGUCUCACGCUCCGGAAGAACCUGGUUUCAUGGAGAGAGAGUCCCCGUCUCUCAAGGGUUCUGUACUCAGGUUAGCUAACCUGAUGGUGACUGUGACUUCAGAAUUGAGCCAGGCUCUGAGCACUUCUUACCACGCCCACCUCUGCCCCCAUCUGGUCCAGCACCCCCGCCUCUCACCUGGGUUGUGGCAGCAGGCUUCCUGCUUGGCCUAUGGCUUCAGCCUCACCUUCUCAUUAAAAAGGAAAUGAGGUCAAGUCCAGUGACCUCACGCUGGGUCGCACACAUCUUCUGGCUGCUUUGCAGCCCCUCUUACUAUCUCUGCUGUGACACACAUAUUUGUGAAGAACCCUGAGGUUCUCAGCAGCUUUCCUCAUAGGCACAUGGACAUUUCAUGGGACCCUGGAAAGAUCACACAGUGAGGAAGACAAUCAUUCUCAUCCGGCCUGUGCACCUGCUGCAGUACGGUCACCUGGUCUGGCUCCAUCGAAGCAGAAGGAAAGGAAGAUUUCACUCUGAGAGGGAACAUAAGAGUCCGGGUGUCGUGUGAGCUGAAGCGUGGGGACCACAGCUUGAUAUUAGUCUUUCCAUUAUUUUGAGUUUCUACAAGUGCUUCCUAUAAAAUUUAUCUGUUUUGAAGCCAGAGGGAUUAAUAGUUUCUCAAUGAUAAAAGGCUAUCUUGUGAAGACAACAAUGCGUAUAUUAUUUGAAGUUAUUAUAUGCCAUUUGAUAGUGGUUCUUUUUUGACUCCUGUAUAAACCUUUUGGAGGAGAGAUCUCAAAGAUACAUAUAUAUAUAUAAAUCAUAUAUAUAUAUAAGUAUAUAUCUUUUGCAUAUACAUAAGUAUAUAUAUUAUUGCAAAUCCUGUUAAAAAUGUUUC